AACGAACGCUGGCGGCAUGCCUAACACAUGCAAGUCGAACGAGACCUUCGGGCCUAGUGGCGCACGGGUGCGGAACGCGUGGGAACUUGCACUUAGGUUCGGAAUAACUCCCUGAAAGGGGUGCUAAUACCGGUUAAUGUCAUCGGAGCUAAGAUGUAUUGCUUUUGGAUGGGCCCGCGUUGGAUUAGCCGGUUGGUAGUGUAAAAGCCUAUCAAGGCGACGAUCCAUGGCUGGUCUGAGAAGAUGCUCAAGCACACUGGGACUGAGACACGGCCCAGACCCCUACGGGGGGCAGCAGAAGGGAGUAUUAGGCGAUGAACGAAAGCCUGGUACAGCCGUGCCGCGUGAGUGGUGAAGGGCUUAGGGUUGUAAAGCUCUUUUACCCGAGAUGAUAAUGACAGUACCGGGAAAAUAAGCACCGGCUAACUCCGUG
rnacentral:rRNA from 1 species